rnacentral:misc_RNA from 1 species
GCAAACUUGGUCAUUUAGAGGAAGUAAAAGUCGUAACAAGGUUUCCGUAGGUGAACCUGCGGAAGGAUCAUUACUGAAGAAAUGGUAUUUGCUGAGCUGACCCCUGUAAUAGGGUGUACGUGCUCGCUUCUACCGCUUUUCUCCAUUCUCCACUGUGCACCUAUUGUAGGCUAUGAUAUUUUUGAAGGCUCUGCGAACUCCCCGUUUGCUUGCUUUCAACUUUUGUAGCCUAUGUUCUAUACAAACUCCUUUUAUAGUCAUGAAUGUAUGUUGUUGAUCUCACACGAUCGAUAAACUAUAUACAACUUUCAGCAACGGAUCUCUUGGCUCUCGCAUCGAUGAAGAACGCAGC